AGGUCUCCGUUGGUGAACCAGCGGAGGGAUCAUUACCGAGUUUACAACUCCCAAACCCCUGUGAACAUACCACUUGUUGCCUCGGCGGACCAGCCCGCUCCCGGUAAAACGGGACGGCCCGCCAGAGGACCCCUAAAACUCUGUUUCUAUAUGUAACUUCUGAGUAAAACCAUAAAUAAAUCAAAACUUUCAACAACGGAUCUCUUGGUUCUGGCAUCGAUGAAGAACGCAGCAAAAUGCGAUAAGUAAUGUGAAUUGCAGAAUUCAGUGAAUCAUCGAAUCUUUGAACGCACAUUGCGCCCGCCAGUAUUCUGGCGGGCAUGCCUGUUCGAGCGUCAUUUCAACCCUCAAGCACAGCUUGGUGUUGGGACUCGCGUUAAUUCGCGUUCCUCAAAUUGAUUGGCGGUCACGUCGAGCUUCCAUAGCGUAGUAGUAAAACCCUCGUUACUGGUAAUCGUCGCGGCCACGCCGUUAAACCCCAACUUNUGAAUGUUGACCUCGGAUCAGGUAGGAAUACCCGCUGAACUUAAGCAUA
rnacentral:rRNA from 1 species